rnacentral:rRNA from 1 species
UACAGAGGUGGCAAGCGUUGUUCGGAAUUACUGGGCGUAAAGGGCGCGUAGGCGGUUCGAUAGGUCCCGUGUGAAAUCCCUCGGCUCAACUGAGGAAUGGCACGGGAAACUGACGGGCUUGAGUUCGGGAGAGGGAAGCGGAAUUCCGGGUGUAGCGGUGAAAUGCGCAGAUAUCAGGAGGAACACCGGUGGCGAAGGCGGGUCUCUGGGCCGAUACUGACGUGGAGGAGCGAAAGCGUGGGGAGCGAACGG